GAUGAAGAACGUAGCGAAAUGCGAUAAGUAAUGUGAAUUGCAGAAUUCAGUGAAUCAUCGAAUAUUUGAACGCACAUUGCGCCCGCCAGUAUUCUGGCGGGCAUGCCUGUCCGAGCGUCAUUUCAACCCUCGAACCCCUCCGGGGGGUCGGCGUUGGGGAUCGGCCCUUUACGGGGCCGGCCCCGAAAUACAGUGGCGGUCUCGCCGCAGCCUCUCCUGCGCAGUAGUUUGCACACUCGCAUCGGGAGCGCGGCGCGUCCACAGCCGUUAAACACCCCAAACUUCUGAAAUGUUGACCUCGGAUCAGGUAGGAAUACCCGCUGAACUUAAGCAUAUCAAUAAGCGGAGGA
rnacentral:misc_RNA from 1 species